rnacentral:lncRNA from 1 species
CUCCCCGCAGGCGGGAGUGGGGUGGGAGGGGAGCGAGCGCGUUGGUGACGCGGGGCGCUCACGUGACGUGGAGCUGCAGAGCGACGCAGCCUUCGGUGCAGUCGUCACUCCCGUCUGGGUACCUGCUCCCCGGUGUCCUGCGCCCCGCGGGCUGGCGUCAGGCCCGAGGAAAGCGGAGCAGAUCUGCCUGCAGGUCUGCUGUAGGGCUUGAGAUUACUGGAAGCAAAGAAACAAGGACGAAAUUGCCCCUGAUCAGUAUAGACUGGUAAGAGGAUGGGAACUGCCUGGGUAGAGCCGUAGGGUGGGUUGGUCGUGAUCAGUGUGCAUCCAGUAGGGUCAGUGUCCAGUCUGGAGUAUCCUCAACCUCUCCCUUUCCUGGCCACCUUUCCUACCAUCCCUGUCACUUACCCCACACUCUCACUUAUAUUUUGGUACAGAGAGUAGGGUGAACUGAGAGAGAUAGAAAGGUAGUUUGAUAAUAUGCUUGUCACAUCAAGAACAAAAUCUCCACUCCCAUCUGUCCCUCUGUCUGUCUGUCUCUCUGUCUCUAGGUCCACAGAUCUCAUGAGUUAAUAAGAUCUACUUUAGGGUAUAUCACCAAUCAAGAGAAAGAAAGAGGAGGGAACUGCCUUGAUCAUUACAGGUUGGUAUGAGGCUGGGGAUCUUUGGGAGUGGUGACAAGAGUAGGUCCAGUAAAAAUCAAGGUCUGAGCGCUUCUCUGUCUUUCCCAUUCAUAAUCAGUCCCCCCCCCAUGUUUACCAUUAUUCAUUUGGUGUAAGGAAAUGUGUAUGAAUGCACCCUAGGGGAUAG